GACGUAGGGCGCGAGCGUUGUCCGGAUUUAUUGGGCGUAAAGAGCUCGUAGGCGGCUUGUCGCGUCGAAUGUGAAAACCCACAGCUCAACUGUGGGCUUGCAUUCGAUACGGGCAGGCUCGAGUUCGGUAGGGGAGACUGGAAUUCCUGGUGUAGCGGUGAAAUGCGCAGAUAUCAGGAGGAACACCGGUGGCGAAGGCGGGUCUCUGGGCCGAUACUGACGCUGGAGGA
rnacentral:rRNA from 1 species